AAUCAACGCUGGCGGCGUGCCUUAGACAUGCAAGUCGAACGCGAAAGUCCCCUUCGGGGGACAAGUAGAGUGGCGCACGGGUGAGUAACACGUAGGUAAUCUACCUUUGGAUGGGGAAUAACAACCGGAAACGGUUGCUAAUACCGCAUAAUGCAGCGGCACCUAAUGGUGACAGUUGUUAAAGCGGGGGAUCGAAAGACCUCGCGUCUAAAGAGGAGCCUGCGGCGGAUUAGCUAGUUGGUAAGGUAANGGCUUACCAAGGCUACGAUCCGUAACCGGCCUGAGAGGGCGGUCGGUCACACUGACACUGACAUACGGGUCAGACUCCUACGGGAGGCAGCAGUCGGGAAUAUUGGACAAUGGGCGAAAGCCUGAUCCAGCGACGCCGCGUGGGUGAA
rnacentral:rRNA from 1 species